rnacentral:lncRNA from 1 species
ACAGGAGCACCCCAAGGAGAUGUACUAGGACGAAUGAAACCGAUGUCCAACAACUCUUGUAGUUGGACCUCUAACUCCUGAAGUUCAAUAGGAGCCAUUCGAUAUGGGAUUUUAGAAAUGGGUUUUGUACCAUGUUCAAGGUCAAUAAAGAAUUCAACUUCACGUUCUGGGGGUAAAUCGGGAAGUUCUUCAAGAAAUACGUCAGGAAAGUCAAUAACAACAGGAAUAUUAUUCAAAUUUGACGUGUCUUUAUUCAAAUCCAUAACAUGGGCUAAGAAAGCUUGACAUCCGUUUUUCAAUAAACGAAUAGCUUUAUGAUUAGAUAUGACAGUGAUUGAUUUUAAUGGUUUAGUUGCUUGAAUUCGUACAACAGGUUGUUUAGGAAUAUGAAAGCUAACAACCUUACGAAAACAAUCAAUUUUGGCAUGAUGAGUAGUUAACCAAUCAAUCCCUAAAAUCACAUCAAAAGCAAGAAUCUUUAAAGAGAUAAGGUCAACAGGUAAUGUAAUGGUGCCAAUUUGGAUCAAACAAGAUUUAUAAACAGUG